CGAAGGAUGCAAGCGUUAUCCGGAUUCAUUGGGUUUAAAGGGUGCGUAGGCGGACUGAUAAGUCAGUGGUGAAAUCUCUCAGCUUAACUGAGAAACUGCUAUUGAUACUGUUAGUCUAGAGUAUAGAUGACGUUGGCGGAAUAUGACAUGUAGUGGUGAAAUACUUAGAUAUGUCAUAGAACACCGAUUGCGAAGGCAGCUAACGAAACUAUAACUGACGCUGAGGCACGAAAGUGCGGGGAUCAAACAGGAUUAGAUACCCUGGUAGUCCGCACCGUAAACGAUGAUUACUCGUUGUUGGCGAUAUGACAGUCAGCGACCAAGCGAAAGCGAUAAGUAAUCCACCUGGGGAGUACGCCGGCAACGGUG
rnacentral:rRNA from 1 species